AUUGAACGCUGGCGGAAUGCUUUACACAUGCAAGUCGAACGGCAGCACGGGAGCUUGCUCCUGGUGGCGAGUGGCGAACGGGUGAGUAAUAUAUCGGAACGUAUCCAAUAAUGGGGGAUAACUAACCGAAAGGUUGGCUAAUACCGCAUACGCCCUACGGGGGAAAGCAGGGGAUCGUAAGACCUUGCGUUAAUGGAGCGGCCGAUAUCUGAUUAGCUAGUUGGUGGGGUAAAGGCCCACCAAGGCUUUGAUCAGUAGCUGGUCUGAGAGGACGACCAGCCACACUGGAACUGAGACACGGUCCAGACUCCUACGGGAGGCAGCAGUGGGGAAUUUUGGACAAUGGGGGCAACCCUGAUCCAGCCAUUCCGCGUGAGUGAAGAAGGCCUUCGGGUUGUAAAGCUCUUUCGCAAGGGAAGAAAACUUAUCUAAUAACACUAGGUGAGGCUGACGGUACCUUGAUAAGAAGCACCGGCUAACUACGUGCCAGCAGCCGCGGUAAUACGUAGGGUGCGAGCGUUAAUCGGAAUUACUGGGCGUAAAGCGUGCGCAGGCGGUUUGAAAAGUCAGAUGUGAAAUCCCCGGGCUCAACCUGGGAACUGCGUUUGAAA
rnacentral:rRNA from 1 species